GGUGAACGCUGGCGGUAGGCCUAACACAUGCAAGUCGAACGGCAGCACAGUAAGAGCUUGCUCUUACGGGUGGCGAGUGGCGGGCGGGUGAGGAAUACAUCGGAAUCUACUUUUUCGUGGGGGAUAACGUAGGGAAACUUACGCUAAUACCGCAUACGACCUACGGGUGAAAGCAGGGGAUCUUCGGACCUUGCGCGAUUGAAUGAGCCGAUGUCGGAUUAGCUAGUUGGCGGGGUAAAGGCCCACCAAGGCGACGAUCCGUAGCUGGUCUGAGAGGAUGAUCAGCCACACUGGAACUGAGACACGGUCCAGACUCCUACGGGAGGCAGCAGUGGGGAAUAUUGGACAAUGGGCGCAAGCCUGAUCCAGCCAUACCGCGUGGGUGAAGAAGGCCUUCGGGUUGUAAAGCCCUUUUGUUGGGAAAGAAAAGCAGCAGGUUAAUACCCCGCUGUUCUGACGGUACCCAAAGAAUAAGCACCGGCUAACUUCGUG
rnacentral:rRNA from 1 species